rnacentral:rRNA from 1 species
GUGAACGCUGGCGGCAGGCCUAAUACAUGCAAGUCGAACGGCAGCACCGCAGAGCUUGCUCUGUGGGUGGCGAGUGGCGGACGGGUGAGGAAUACAUGGGAAUCUGCCCAGUCGUGGGGGAUAACGUAUGGAAACGUACGCUAAUACCGCAUGCGCCCUUUGGGGGAAAGCCGGGGACCUUCGGGCCUGGCGCGAUUGGAUGAGCCCAUGUUCGAUUAGCUAGUUGGCGGGGUAAAGGCCCACCAAGGCGACGAUCGAUAGCUGGUCUGAGAGGAUGAUCAGCCACACUGGGACUGAGACACGGCCCAGACUCCUACGGGAGGCAGCAGUAGGGAAUAUUGGACAAUGGGCGCAAGCCUGAUCCAGCCAUGCCGCGUGAGUGAAGAAGGCCCUCGGGUUGUAAAGCUCUUUUGUCCGGAAAGAAAAGCAUUCGGUUAAUACCCGGGUGUUCUGACGGUACCGGAAGAAUAAGCACCGGCUAACUUCGUG